rnacentral:lncRNA from 1 species
UUUUUUUAGUCCAAUCUUAUUUUUUGUUUGUUAUUAUAAAAAUUUAAAAUAUAUAAAUAAUUUUAAAUAGUUUAUACUAUUUGUAUUAAAUAUAAAUUUUAAUUUUAUAAUAUUGAGGAUUUAGAUAUAGAUUGUAUAUUAAAAAAUAAGAGAAAGAUUAAUGGAGUUUAAGUUAAUUUUAUAUUUUAUAAAAUUUAGUUGCGAAAAUCGCAUGACAUAUACAAACUAA